UACGUAGGUGGCAAGCGUUGUCCGGAAUUAUUGGGCGUAAGGCGCGCGCAGGCGGCCUUUUAAGUCUGAUGUGAAAUCUUGCGGCUCAACCGCAAGCGGCCAUUGGAAACUGGGAGGCUUGAGUACAGAAGAGGAGAGUGGAAUUCCACGUGUAGCGGUGAAAUGCGUAGAUAUGUGGAGGAACACCAGUGGCGAAGGCGACUCUCUGGUCUGUAACUGACGCUGAGGCGCGAAAGCGUGGGGAGCAAACAGG
rnacentral:rRNA from 1 species